GUACCGUUGCGGAUUCGACUCACGGCUCCAGACGCGCAGGCUCAGUAAUUGUGGCUCACGGGCCUAGUUGCUCCGCGGCAUGUGGGAUCCUCCCGGACCAGGGCUCGCACCCAUGUCCCCUGCAUCGGCAGGCAGACUCUCAACCACUGGGCCACCAGGGAAGACCCGAGUAGGCUGUUUCUGAGAGCGGGCUGUUUCAGCGAAGUGAAGCAAGGCCACAGCAAAUUUUAUCGACCCAAAGGGCGCAGCCGCGGCUACUUUGCAGCGGGUUCGGGCCAGGCCCAGCCUGCGGCGGCAACAGCGGGUCUCUGACCGACCGUGAGCUUGGGGACUUUGUCUCUAACGACUGCGGGUGCAGCGGCCUGAGUUCUAAGCGCAGGAGAUGAGUAUACAUCAACAUUUUUAGAAGAAAACGUACAUUGUCACCUUGCUGGGAGAGGCCUUAGGAAGUACUGCUAACCAUCUACCCUGUCAUCAGAAUAGAAGUCCUCCUGGAUUCACGUGAGAUACCAAGCUAGAUCCAUAUCAUCACCCCCCACCCCCGUCCAGGACAAUUAGAAGGCCAUCCCUAUGCGUGACCUCAAAUUGAGGAUUUCAAGAGCUUACUCAGGCUCCAGAAGCAGACGACACCACGAAGUAGACAGCUUUACCCAAGAUCUCCGAUCAAGAAUUUUGUCUCCGUUUAUCUUCCCUUGCAAUCUCUGCCUGACCUGCAAAAUUCUCUGACCUAGAAAUUUAAACAAAACGCUUCCUCUUUCAGUUACAGAAGGACUGACUGGAGGUUGCUUGUCUAAACCUGUCCUCCCUCUGUUCCCCCAUUACGGGCUCCCUUUCAGACUAUGUCUUGCUUCAGCGAAUUCUUACUGCUUUUUCAACAGUUUUAGCAUGGCCACAACACCCACUCACACCAAUCUUUCAGACCCUGGCUACCUUAACUAAUCAGUCUAAUUGCUGGUUAUGUCAGCAUCUAAAUAACGCACCAGAACCUGAACUAGGUUUUGUCCCUGCCAGUGCAAGCACCUGGUGGACCCAUUCUGGACAAUGGAUGUAUGGAAGGCACUCUGCUUCCUCCUACGACAGAGUGACUUGGCAUUGGGGAACCCCCAUGGAGGCUCGAGGUCUGUCUUUCACUCAGGUGAGGGUAUUGGAGGGAAAAUUUUCUCUUUGCAUUGAAAAUAAAAACGGCACUGGACCCUUCCUAGGUAACAUACCAAAACAAUACUGUAAUCAAACAUUGUGGUUUGAUUCCACAGAUGACACCUUCAAAUCCUCCAAAGAUGUUAUAAAUGAGUUCCAGACUGAUUAUUAUAAUGAUACAAAUGUUUGCCUAGUCACUGGACAGUAUUCCUGGUCUGCAGGCCACAAAAAUAGGACGUGGAACCGCCCAGCUGUUCCCCUGGUUGGUCUGCCCGAUACCCCAGGCCACAAAUGGGUCGACCAGAAUUCUGGAAUGACCUGGUCAGGUAAUGACACCUUUCUUGAUAGCUGCCAAAACCAGACUGAAGGUCUCCUCUUACCAGAUAUUUCGCAGCCUGUUUUGCUCUUACAGCCUGACAGAGGCACAUGGGAAAUGGAGAUAUACAGUUGCCGACAUAACUAACGACAAAGACCACCAUGGACACCGAACUCCAACCUGAUGGGUCACAGGUUCCACUCUGACCUUGUUUGUGAACACCUCUGGUCUGUUUAUUUUAUGUGGCAAUAAGGUAUAUAAAGGAUUCCCACCUAAAUGGUCAGGGCGAUGUGGACUUGGCUACCUGGCAUUUUCCUUCACUAGUUAUCCCACUUUAAAUGCUAGCCGGAUUACAGACCUGGGCUCCUUCAGGCAUAAAGUAGCACCACGUAGACGCAUCCAACCAGACAUUGUAGGCAAGCCACUCAUGUAUCGCAAUACUGAUUCAGUAAGGACCCUUUUUCCAAGCUUGAAAACUUCCGAUCUAGAAGAAGCAAUUCUGAACAUUUCCAAAGUCAUGGAACAAGGAUUCACUGGCACCCCGCAGGCCUUGAAAGCACGUCCGUCAGGGGGAGAAAGCCGUAGACCAUUUAAUCUGGGAUGAUCUGCUGUACUCUCCUGAUUUCCCGUGAGCAUUUAAUCUACGGUCUAAAGGGUCGUUUGUCUGGUAUGAGUUGUAGCUGUCUUACGAUUAUGGGCAGCAGCAGCGAGGGGGGCUGUAGAGACCAAGUGGAGGUAGCAUUUAUCAUAUUGCACGUGUCACUCCGUUGCUCCUGUCCUUACAUUAUUCUGUUUAAUUCUCACACAGUGUUCUUCCCGUUUUACAGAUGAAUAAAUUGGAAGGGUAGAUAACUUGCUAAAGAUUAUACCAUUACUGGGACUUCCUGGUGGUCCAGUGGUUAAGACUCCGCACUCCCAAUGCAGGGAGCAUGGGUUCAAUCCCUGGUUGGGGAACUAAGAUCCCAUGUGCCGUCCAGCGCAGCCAAAAAAAAAGACUAUACCAUUACUGAAAAUAAGAGCAAGAUGCAGAACUGGUAUCUAGUGUGCAACCUUUCAUAGAGCAGAGGAAAGAAGAAAAAAUACAUAGUCAUUCCUUGGAGAUACUGCGGGUUUGGUUCCAGACCGCUGCAAUAAAGGGAGUCGCACAAAUUGUUUGGUUUCUCUGUGCAAAUAAAAGUUAUGUUUACAC